rnacentral:rRNA from 1 species
UCCUUAUCAUUAGAGGAAGGAGAAGUCGUAACAAGGUUUCCGUAGGUGAACCUGCGGAAGGAUCAUUGUCGAAAUCGAACGGAAGAACGACCCGCGAACCGUCUUUGCGUAACGAACCGAGCUCGCGAGCAGCAAACGCUCGCGGGUCUCGCGUCGCGUCGGCGCGGUCCUCGAAAGGGCCACGCCGCACCGACAAACUAACAAUGUCAGCACGGAUCGUGCCAAGGAGCUGUACAGGCGAGAGUCGCCGUCCCACGCCCCCGGUCCCCCUCGACUGGGGGCGGGUGACAUGCGCGAUCUCUGCUCUUAGUCUUAAUGACUCUCGGCAACGGAUAUCUCGGCUCUUGCAUCGAUGAAGAACGUAGCGAAAUGCGAUACUUGGUGUGAAUUGCAGAAUCCCGCGAACCAUCAAUUCUUUGAACGCAAGUUGCGCCCGAAGCCAUCCGGCCGAGGGCACGCCUGCCUGGGUGUCGUGAAUCCCCUUGCCCCAGGGCACCCGCACGAGCAUCGUCGCGGAUAUGCCCGGGCGCAGAAUAUGGUCUCCCGUCGGAUCGGCGUGCGCUGCACGUCGUGGGGCGGUUGGCCGAAAAUCGAGCAUUGCGACGUCGGGCUCCACGGCGUUCGGUGGAUCGAAAGCGAUUGGCUGCGCCGUGGUCCCGUCAUGCCGCGGGCUCAGGACUACGACGAUUCCCUUGUGCGAUCCCAGGUCAGGCGGGGCUACCCGCUGAGUUUAAGCAUAUCAAUAAGCGGAGGAAAAGAAACUAACGAGGAUUCCCUUAGUAGCGGCGAGCGAACCGGGACGAGCCCAGCGUGAAAAUCGUCCGCCUUCGGCGGCCGAAUUGUAGUCUGGAGAAGCGUCCUCAGUGACGGACCGGGCCCAAGUUCACUGGAAGGUGGCGCCGGAGAGGGUGAGAGCCCCGUCGUGCCCGGACCCUGUCGCACCACGAGGCACUGA